rnacentral:rRNA from 1 species
CACGGGGGGAGCAAGCGUUGUUCGGAAUCACUGGGCGUAAAGGGCGCGUAGGCGGCCUGCUAAGUCGAACGUGAAAUCCCUGGGCUCAACCCAGGAACUGCGUCCGAUACUGGUUGGCUUGAAUCCGGGAGAGGGAUGCGGAAUUCCGGGUGUAGCGGUGAAAUGCGUAGAUAUCCGGAGGAACACCGGUGGCGAAGGCGGCUUCCUGGACCGACACUGACGCUGAGGCGCGAAAGCUAGGGGAGCAAACGGG